GAUGAACGCUGGCGGCGUGCCUAAUACAUGCAAGUCGAGCGAACAGACGAGGAGCUUGCUCCUUUGACGUUAGCGGCGGACGGGUGAGUAACACGUGGGUAACCUACCUAUAAGACUGGGAUAACUUCGGGAAACCGGAGCUAAUACCGGAUAAUAUUUCGAACCGCAUGGUUCGAUAGUGAAAGAUGGCUUUGCUAUCACUUAUAGAUGGACCUGCGCCGUAUUAGCUAGUUGGUAAGGUAACGGCUUACCAAGGCAACGAUACGUAGCCGACCUGAGAGGGUGAUCGGCCACACUGGAACUGAGACACGGUCCAGACUCCUACGGGAGGCAGCAGUAGGGAAUCUUCCGCAAUGAGCGAAAGCCUGACGGAGCAACGCCGCGUGAGUGAUGAAGGUCUUCGGAUCGUAAAACUCUGUUAUUAGGGAAGAACAAACGUGUAAGUAACUGUGCACGUCUUGACGGUACCUAAUCAGAAAGCCACGGCUAACUACGUG
rnacentral:rRNA from 1 species